GGGGAAUGUUGGGCAAUGGGGGAAACCCUGACCCAGCAACGCCGCGUGAGUGAAGAAGGCCUUCGGGUUGUAAAGCUCUGUCGCAGGGGAAGAAGAGGUGACGGUACCCUGUGAGGAAGCCCCGGCUAACUACGUGCCAGCAGCCGCGGUAAUACGUAGGGGGCGAGCGUUGUCCGGAAUUACUGGGCGUAAAGGGUGCGUAGGUGGCAAUUUAAGUUGGAUGUGAAAUCCCCGGGCUUAACCUGGGUGGUGCAUUCAAAACUGGAUAGCUAGAGUGCAGGAGAGGGAAGCGGAAUUCCUAGUGUAGCGGUGAAAUGCGUAGAUAUUAGGAGGAACACCAGUGGCGAAGGCGGCUUUCUGGACUGUAACUGACACUGAGGCACGAAAGCGUGGGGAGCAAAC
rnacentral:rRNA from 1 species